rnacentral:rRNA from 1 species
CGGGGCUUAGUCGGUUUACUGGGCGUAAGCGCACGCAGGCGGUUGAUUAAGUUAGAUGUGAAAUCCCCGGGCUCAACCUGGGAAUUGCAUUUGAAACUGGCCAGCUAGAGUCUUGUAGAGGGGGGUAGAAUUCCAUGUGUAGCGGUGAAAUGCGUAGAGAUGUGGAGGAAUACCGGUGGCGAAGGCGGCCCCCUGGACAAAGACUGACGCUCAGGUGCGAAAGCGUGGGGAGCAAACAGGAUUAGAUACCCUGGUAGUCCACGCUGUAAACGAUGUCGAUUUGGAGGUUGUGCCCUUGAGCCGUGGCUUCCGGAGCUAACGCGUUAAAUCGACCGCCUGGGGAGUACGGCCGCAAGGUUAAAACUCAAAUGAAUUGACGGGGGCCCGCACAAGCGGUGGAGCAUGUGGUUUAAUUCGAUGCAACGCGAAGAACCUUACCUACUCUUGACAUCCAGAGAAUCCUGCAGAGAUGCUUUAGUGCCUUCGGGAACUCUGAGACAGGUGCUGCAUGGCUGUCGUCAGCUCGUGUUGUGAAAUGUUGGGUUAAGUCCCGCAACGAGCGCAACCCUUAUCCUUUGUUGCCAGCCCUUAGUGCUGGAAACUCAAUGAAAAUUGCCGAGAAAACCCGAAGGAGGUGGGGUAGACCUCCCAUUCUCCUGGCCCUUUAGGGUUCGGGCUACACACUUGCUACAAUGGCAGAGACCAGGAAAAGCGAGCUCGGGAGACCAUCUCGAAUCCCUGAAGUCGGUCGUAUCCGGAUUUGGAUCUGAAUUCGACUUCUCUGAAUUCGGAUUCCUCGUAAUCCAAAAUCACAUGGUACGUGAUCCGGUCCCCCAAGGCUAAA